rnacentral:rRNA from 1 species
UCGAGGAUCUUCGGCAAUGGGCGCAAGCCUGACCGAGCGACGCCGCGUGUGCGAUGAAGGCCUUCGGGUUGUAAAGCACUGUCGAGGGGGAGGAAGCCGCAAGGUUGACCUAUCCCUGGAGGAAGCACGGGCUAAGUUCGUGCCAGCAGCCGCGGUAAGACGAACCGUGCGAACGUUGUUCGGAUUCACUGGGCUUAAAGGGCGCGUAGGCGGGCAUUCAAGUCAGGGGUGAAAUCUUUCGGCUCAACCGGAAACAGCCCCUGAUACUGGAUGUCUCGAGGGAGGUAGGGGCCUGUGGAACUUCCGGUGGAGCGGUGAAAUGCGUAGAUAUCGGAAGGACGCCGGUGGCGAAAGCGACGGGCUGGACCUCUUCUGACGCUGAGGCGCGAAAGCCAGGGGAGCAAACGGGAUUAGAUACCCCGGUAGUCCUGGCCCUAAACGAUGGGUACUAGGUUGUGGACUUGACAUGGGUUCACAGCCGAAGCAAAAGGUGGUAAGUACCCCGCCUGGGGAGUA